CGGGGCAGGGCCUGUCCAAUCGGAGCGCGGGGCUGGGCUCGUGGGCGGGCCUUCGUCCUGUCCGGUCCUAAACCGCGGAAUUGGCGACUGGGGAGUCGCCUCUGCCACUUGAGAGGCGCCUGCGAGUGCACGCCCUCUGAGAAGCAGCCUCCCGUCUCGAACUUAGCCCCGCGUGACCCCCCUCGGUCCUCUGUGGUCCAGUUGGGGUUCUCCGAUUGGGGGUCGCGGACCUCUUCCCUGGAGAUACCGUCUAGACGUUACAUUUAAAGCCAGGACUGUCCGUGUGAGUUUUUGUUAGCGCUUUCCAUACGCUGCUUCGACAGUAAGUGACCCCAACAGUGUCCCCUUCACUCUGCAGUCUCUCCUGCAAGUGCCACACCUUUCCCUUUUGACGUAAUAAAAACAACUGAGUUGAAGUGGCCUGACUUGAUGAGUGAGGGGCAUCGAGAAGUGUGCACGGGUAGAAUUGUAGACCUACACUCAAAACAUCUGCUUAGCCAAAUUACGGCACUAACCUAGGUGUCCAGAGGAAUGGAUAAAGAAAAUAUGUAUACACAAAUUUUUCCACCAUAAAGAACAAAGUUAUCAUUCGUAGGAAAAUGGAUCCAACUGGAGAUGAUCUUAUUAAACUGAUUAAGCCAGUCUCAAGACAUAAAUCCCUUGUUUCCUCACGUUUGUGGUUCCUAGAUUUUUACAUGGGUACAUUAAAUCAUGAUGUAUUUGCAAAACAAAAGUCGAUGUGACGUUGGCUAAGGGAUUUAAAGGGAUUAAUGGGGGGAAUAAGUUUGAUGUACAAGAAAUACUUGUAUGAAAUUUCCAAUAGAAAAAAGACUUUUUAAAAAGGCAGCUGGUCAGUGGCUCCUGCCUUUCAUCCCAGCACUCUGUGAGUUCAAGGCCAGCCUCGGCUACAGAUGGAGUCCCAGGACAACUAAGGAUGUACAGAGAAACCCUGUCUUGAGAAAGAAAAAAAAAAAAGGUUGUAUCAGAUCUUCCCAGUCAAGGAAGCUCUGACUGCAUCAGCAGCUAGAAGGUCUCCUCCUCUCAUCCAAUCCAGAGGUGACCAUCUGGGAUUGGAUAACCCGAUGUGUGCUCUUCCCUGGGGAAGACUGUUUCUCCAGUUCUCAGCAUUUCCUUGGUUGCCUGUACUUGUCUUCUGGACCAGGCCUGCCACCCCAGACUCUCCCAGAUGGCGGCACGCCCCUCCUCUGAAGACUUGGAAACACCAAGAAGCAGGAAUUGGGUUACGCAGCUGCUCUUAGCUCUGCUGAGAUAGACAGGCAGUGCAGAGCAGUGUCAUUUUCAGCUCUCAGCAACUUCUCAAAGUGCACCUACUGGAUUCCUUGUGUCACAGUCUCUGAGGAAUUCAGAAAAAGAAGAAAAAGCGUGCACAGCCUCCUUGGAUGGGUUGGCAUGGGUUUUUAAUGUGGCACCUGAAAGACAGCACUUGAAGGAAUGAACCUUCCAUACACAGUCCUUUACACACAGCUGGGAAGCUGUGAUCUACCGGGCUGAAAUCCUAAAUGUCUGCUGCACCUGCUCUACCCAGUGUUUGACCUCUACAGAUGAGGAAUCAGAAUUGUAAAGUUCGUGCUGUGUACCCUUGUCCUUGCCAGUGCUUGCCAGCCUACCCACCCUAUAAAAAUAAAAUCCUACACGCAUUCUGUAGGUGUUUUUAUGUUGGGCAGUAGGCC